CAGUCGCCGCGGGAAUACGGAGGGUGCAAGCGUUAAUCGGAAUUACUGGGCGUAAAGCGCACGCAGGCGGUUUGUUAAGUCAGAUGUGAAAUCCCCGAGCUUAACUUGGGAACUGCAUUUGGAACUGGCAAGCUAGAGUCUUGUAGAGGGGGGUAGAAUUCCAGGUGUAGCGGUGAAAUGCGUAGAGAUCUGGAGGAAUACCGGUGGCGAAGGCGGCCCCCUGGACAAAGACUGACGCUCAGGUGCGAAAGCGUGGGAGCAAACAGGAUUAGAUACCCCGGUAGUCCCUGUCUCUUAUACA
rnacentral:rRNA from 1 species